rnacentral:rRNA from 1 species
UACGUAGGGGGCAAGCGUUUGUCCGGAUUUAUUGGGGCGUAAAGAGCGUGUAGGCGGCCAGGGUAGGUUCUGCUGUGAAAACUCGAGGCUUAACCUCGAGAUGUCGGCGGAAACCAUCUGGGCUAGGAGUCCGGAAGAGGAGAGCGGGAAUUCCUGGUGUAGCGGUGAAAUGCGCAGAUAUCAGGAGGAACACCCGUGGCGAAGGCGGCUCUCUGGGGACGGUACUGGACGCUGAGACGCGAAAGCGUGGGGGAGCGAACAGG